CAGGCAUGGGUUCAAGCCAAUAGAAAGUCUGUAUUACCUGGUGGUGCUAUCUGCAUGCUGUGUUUUUCAUCCUGAAAGGUCCUUUCAUCAUAGAGUCAGUUGUGGGAGGUCUCUGCCGAGACCAUGGACAGACAGCAGAGUGUCAAUCCACAAAAGGAAAGAAGUCUGGUUCAAUAUGACUCCAUGGCUAGUGUUGGUUCAAACUUUGAGAGUUUGACACCAUGUAGUUUAUGAAGUACAGUACAGUUUGGGAUAACUCAGUCCUGUACACACAAUAAAGCUUAAAA